AUUGAACGCUGGCGGCAGGCCUAACACAUGCAAGUCGAACGAGUGGCGGACGGGUGAGUAAUGUCUGGGAAACUGCCUGCUGGAGGGGGAUAACUACUGGAAACGGUAGCUAAUACCGCAUACCAUCAGAUGUGCCCAGAUGGGAUUAGCUAGUUGGUGGGGUAAAGGCUCACCAAGGCGACGAUCCCUAGCUGGGCUGAGAGGAUGACCAGCCACACGGGAACUGAGACACGGUCCAGACUCCUACGGGAGGCAGCAGGGGGGAAGAUUGCACAAUGGGCGCAAGCCUGAUGCAGCCAUGCCGCGUGUAUGAAGAAGGCCUGCGGGUUGUAAAGUACUUUCAGCGGGGAGGCGGUACCCGCAGAAGAAGCACCGGCUAACUCCGUGCCAGCCGCCGCGGUAAUAC
rnacentral:rRNA from 1 species